CCCCCCCCCCCCCAGGUGCUCAGGAUCCAAGAUCCGCCCCUCCAGCGACGGCAACGGACCGCGGCCAUCACCGUUCUCCCUUCCCGGAUCUCUCCUCCGCCUCGAAGCUCCGGUACACUCCGCGACGGCGACGGUUCUGUGGACGUAUUCUAUGUCAUCUGAUCAAAGGCUUUCAACUCACUAUAUCAUGUUGAUCUUGUUGUCUUUAUCGAUCAUUGAGAAGAAAGCAAGAAAGGUGCUCUGACAUUAGAACCAUUUUGCUUUGUCUGAAGACGCCGUGUUCAGUUGCUGGGUGCCUUUCGCUUCAUUGGUUUUGGCACUCGAGGACUACACAGAUUUUCUGAAGAAGCAAUCUGCAAAUUAGUUGAAGAGCAAAAGCAAAGGCGUUGCGGCUUUUCAAAUGCCCAAUGAAUAGAGAUAUAUUCAUCAUACCAAGAACCCAAGCCUUAGGCUUUUCUAGUUGAAGGAGGAGAUUACUGCAAUGGAGAGAACAUAAGUUCAGUCAACAUCAAGAUGCAGUACCUGAUGUCGAUGAGGAUGCGGAGUGGAGAAACGACUUGAGUAGGGCUAGUGAUCGCCGCCUUGCAAUUCUUCUAUUUCGAAAGUAUCUCUUGCCGUGGACUUGGCAAGUGAUAAUUCAUUUUUUUGUUAUUGUCAACAAAUUUGAAUGAUGAUGGCACAUGAAAACGGUUUCGACCAA